rnacentral:pre_miRNA from 1 species
CAUAAACUGCAAUGCCGUAUUGUCUGUCAUAAACUGCAAUGCCGUACUGACAGACAAUACGCCAUUGCAGUUUAUGACAGACAUAAACUGCAAUGGCGU